rnacentral:lncRNA from 1 species
UUGUUAGAAGGAAGCCCAUGAGCGGAAGCCAUUCAUGAAAGGAAGGGAUCGAACCGGCCUUGACACGGACUCAUUCAGAAGCGGGCCAAUCCGGUUUGCAGAUCGUUAAGUUAUACAAUGAAGGCGAGGUUAGUAAAAUGUUUAAUUCUAGAUUGAAAGGUAAGAAUCUGUGAAUUAUUUGUACAUAUGAAUGAAAUGAAUGGUAGGACAAAUAUGGUAUAGUAUGAAAUAACUGACUAGCAAUGGUCAUCUUUAGAAAGUAUUUAUGUCAAUAAGAGGAAGAUUUAAGGACCCUGAAUGAAAACUUGGAACUAGUUGAUUAAUGCUCAUAUGUUGCUCUUUGCACGACAUGCCGGACGGGUUAUAAAAGAAAUGAAGGAGGUUUCGGGGACGAAACCUUCUUUAAGGGGAGUAGAUUUGUAA